rnacentral:tRNA from 1 species
UGGCUCAGUUGGUUAGCGCGUCGUACUAAUAAUGCGAAGGUCGAGAGUUCGACCCUCUC